rnacentral:rRNA from 1 species
UACGGAGGGUGCAAGCGUUAUCCGGAAUGAUUGGGCGUAAAGGGUCCGCAGGUGGCAGUGUAAGUCUGCUGUCAAAGAAUGAGGCUUAACCUUAUCAAGGCAGUGGAAACUACACAGCUAGAGUACGGUCGGGGUAGAAGGAAUUCCUGGUGCAGCGGUGAAAUGCGUAGAGAUCAGGAAGAACACCGGUGGCGAAAGCGUUCUGCUAGACCUGUACUGACACUGAGGGACGAAAGCUAGGGGAGCGAAUGGG